UACGUAGGGGGCAAGCGUUGUCCGGAAUCAUUGGGCGUAAAGAGCGUGUAGGCGGCUUGGUAAGUCCGCUGUGAAAGCCCGGGGCUCAACCCCGGGAGGCGGGCGGAUACUGUCGAGCUAGAGUCCGGAAGAGGCGAGUGGAAUUCCUGGUGUAGCGGUGAAAUGCGCAGAUAUCAGGAGGAACACCAAUGGCGAAGGCAGCUCGCUGGGACGGUACUGACGCUGAGACGCGAAAGCGUGGGGAGCAAACAGG
rnacentral:rRNA from 1 species